UACGGAGGGUGCAAGCGUUACUCGGAAUCACUGGGCGUAAAGCGCGCGCAGGCGGUCUUUUAAGUUGGAUGUGAAAGCCUACGGCUCAACCGUAGAACUGCAUCCAAAACUAUUAGACUAGAGUGUGGGAGAGGAAGAUGGAAUUAGUUGUGUAGGGGUAAAAUCCGUAGAGAUAACUAGGAAUACCAAAAGCGAAGGCAAUCUUCUGGAACACUACUGACGCUGAGGCGCGAAAGCGUGGGGAGCAAACGGGAUUAGAUACCCCGGUAGUCCACGCAGUAAACGAUGAAUGUAGUCGUCGGGGGCCUAGUGUCUUCGGUGAUGCAGCUAACGCAUUAAACAUUCCGCCUGGGGAGUACGGUCGCAAGAUUAAAACUCAAAGGAAUAGACGGGGACCCGCACAAGUGGUGGAGCAUGUGGUUUAAUUCGAAGAUACGCGAAGAACCUUACCUAGCCUUGACAUAUUUAAGAACUCCGUAGAGAUACAGAGGUGCCCUUCGGGAGCUUUCUUACAGGUGCUGCACGGCUGUCGUCAGCUCGUGUCGUGAGAUGUUGGGUUAAGUCCCGCAACGAGCGCAACCCUCGUCACUAGUUACUAACGGUUCGGCCGAGGACUCUAGUGAGACUGCCUUCGUAAGGAGGAGGAAGGUGAGGACGACGUCAAGUCAUCAUGGCCCUUACGGCUAGGGCAACACACGUGCUACAAUGGCCAGGACAGUGAGACGCGAUACCGUGAGGUGGAGCAAAUCUAUAAACCUGGUCUCAGUUCGGAUUGUAGUCUGCAACUCGACUACAUGAAGCUGGAAUCACUAGUAAUCGUAGAUCAGCUAUGCUACGGUGAAUACGUUCCCGGGUCUUGUACUCACCGCCCGUCACACCAUGGGAGUUGAUUUCACCCGAAGCGGGGAAGCUAAACUGGCUACCCUCCACGGUGGAAUUU
rnacentral:rRNA from 1 species